AUCAGUGGCGAACGGGUGAGUAACACGUGAGCAACCUGCCCCUGACUCUGGGAUAAGCGCUGGAAACGGCGUCUAAUACUGGAUAUGUGACGUGACCGCAUGGUCUGCGUUUGGAAAGAUUUUUCGGUUGGGGAUGGGCUCGCGGCCUAUCAGCUUGUUGGUGAGGUAAUGGCUCACCAAGGCGUCGACGGGUAGCCGGCCUGAGAGGGUGACCGGCCACACUGGGACUGAGACACGGCCCAGACUCCUACGGGAGGCAGCAGUGGGGAAUAUUGCACAAUGGGCGAAAGCCUGAUGCAGCAACGCCGCGUGAGGGAUGACGGCCUUCGGGUUGUAAACCUCUUUUAGCAGGGAAGAAGCGAAAGUGACGGUACCUGCAGAAAAAGCGCCGGCUAACUACGUGCCAGCAGCCGCGGUAAUACGUAGGGCGCAAGCGUUAUCCGGAAUUAUUGGGCGUAAAGAGCUCGUAGGCGGUUUGUCGCGUCUGCUGUGAAAUCCCGAGGCUCAACCUCGGGCCUGCAGUGGGUACGGGCAGACUAGAGUGCGGUAGGGGAGAUUGGAAUUCCUGGUGUAGCGGUGGAAUGCGCAGAUAUCAGGAGGAACACCGAUGGCGAAGGCAGAUCUCUGGGCCGUAACUGACGCUGAGGAGCGAAAGGGUGGGGAGCAAACAGGCUUAGAUACCCUGGUAGUCCACCCCGUAAACGUUGGGAACUAGUUGUGGGGUCCAUUCCACGGAUUCCGUGACGCAGCUAACGCAUUAAGUUCCCCGCCUGGGGAGUACGGCCGCAAGGCUAAAACUCAAAGGAAUUGACGGGGACCCGCACAAGCGGCGGAGCAUGCGGAUUAAUUCGAUGCAACGCGAAGAACCUUACCAAGGCUUGACAUAUACGAGAACGGGCCAGAAAUGGUCAACUCUUUGGACACUCGUAAACAGGUGGUGCAUGGUUGUCGUCAGCUCGUGUCGUGAGAUGUUGGGUUAAGUCCCGCAACGAGCGCAACCCUCGUUCUAUGUUGCCAGCACGUAAUGGUGGGAACUCAUGGGAUACUGCCGGGGUCAACUCGGAGGAAGGUGGGGAUGACGUCAAAUCAUCAUGCCCCUUAUGUCUUGGGCUUCACGCAUGCUACAAUGGCCGGUACAAAGGGCUGCAAUACCGUGAGGUGGAGCGAAUCCCAAAAAGCCGGUCCCAGUUCGGAUUGAGGUCUGCAACUCGACCUCAUGAAGUCGGAGUCGCUAGUAAUCGCAGAUCAGCAACGCUGCGGUGAAUACGUUCCCGGGUCUUGUACACACCGCCCGUCAAGUCAUGAAAGUCGGUAACACCUGAAG
rnacentral:rRNA from 2 species